rnacentral:lncRNA from 1 species
CGGCUGGGGGCUUUAUUAGGGGGCACCGGGGUCUGCUUUCCGACUCCCUUCCGACUCCGCGCCUGCGCAGGAAGCGAUUUGGGGAGUGUUGUGAAUUCCGAGGGCUCCACACUUAAGAGGUUGUACACUCACCUGUCUACCUGGACUCCAAUUUCCAUAUUUCCAGCCACUUGAGGACUGAGAGGUGGAUGAUAAACCCUGUCAUAGUGGAGCAAGUUCAGGUGUUUAACCGCUGUUAUGGGGGAUCUGCCUUUUCUCCCUCUUCUUUCUUACUUCCAUAAGUAUGUAUGUGCAGAGAUUGAAAAAUAACCUUGAGAGAGUCCAUCCAUCUAACUCCAGGUUUUGGUAUCAAGAUGAAGCUGACCUCAUAGAAUGAGUUGAAGAGUAGUCCCUCCUCCUCACUUUCUUGGAACAGUUUCUGUAGGAAUGGAACCAGCUCUUCUUUGUACAUCUGGUAGAAUUUGGCUGUGACUCCAUCAGGUCCUGGGCUUUUUUUUUGGUUUGAACUGCGUGGCACCACUUCCAUCUCAGCUACCCCUGAGACAGCAAGACCCUCCUCUCUUCCUCCUCCUCCUCAGCCUAUUCAACAUGAAAAUGAGGAUGAAGACAUUUAUGAUGAUCCACUUUCACUGAAUAAAUGAUAAAUAUAUAUUAUCUUCCUUGUGAUUUUUGUAAUAAAAUUUUCUUUUCUUUAUCUUAUUUAAGAAUACAGUGUGUAAUAUUAAUACAUAUAAAAUACAAAGAUGUGUUAAUCAUUUAUGUUUUCUGUAAGGGUUUCAUCAACAGUAGGAUGUUAAGUUAAGUUUUAGGGAAGUCAAAAGUUAUGUGAGAAUUUUUGAUGCACAGGAGUUCAGUGCUCCUAAACCCUAUAUUGUUCAAGGGUCAACUGUAUACACUAAUCAUUAUUUGAAAGCUUAAUUUAUAUGAAUCAAAAUAAACUAUGUUUAUGUUGA